rnacentral:lncRNA from 1 species
CCUCCUAUAGAUAUUCUCUUGCUUUGGAGUAUCCAAGGUAUUUGAAGAAGAAGGAAGAAAUCAGCCAUCGAAGUCCUUGUGGGCUAGCACCUUCAAGGACCCUGAUCUGCGCCAGUCUUCGCGUGGACUUUCUGUAGAGGCCAGAUGACUUCAUGUGGCUGCGAGCAACCUGAGGGACAUCAUCUCCAAGUGUUGGACCAGCAAAGAUCAAGAUCUUUUGGGUUUGAUAAUUAUUUCUAAUCUGUCUUGAUCAUAUUGUUAGAUCUAAUAGUUAGAUCUAGGAUUGCAGCAUUGAUGA